UACGGAGGGAGCUAGCGUUGUUCGGAAUUACUGGGCGUAAAGCGUGCGUAGGCGGUUAUUCAAGUCAGAGGUGAAAGCCCGGGGCUCAACCCCGGAACGGCCUUUGAAACUAGGUAACUAGAAUCUUGGAGAGGUUAGUGGAAUUCCGAGUGUAGAGGUGAAAUUCGUAGAUAUUCGGAAGAACACCCGUGGCGAAAGCGGCUCUCUGGAACGGUACUGACGCUGAGACGCGAAAGCGUGGGGAGCGAACAGG
rnacentral:rRNA from 1 species